rnacentral:rRNA from 1 species
CAGUAGCCACGGGAAUACGAAGGGUGCAAGCGUUACUCGGAAUUACUGGGCGUAAAGCGUGCGUAGGUGGUGGUUUAAGUCCGUUGUGAAAGCCCUGGGCUCAACCUGGGAAUUGCAGUGGAUACUGGGUCACUAGAGUGUGGUAGAGGAUAGUGGAAUUUCCGGUGUAGCAGUGAAAUGCGUAGAGAUCGGAAGGAACAUCUGUGGCGAAGGCGACUAUCUGGGCCAACACUGACACUGAGGCACGAAAGCGUGGGGAGCAAACAGGAUUAGAGACCCGCGUAGUCCCUGUCUCUUAUAC